rnacentral:misc_RNA from 1 species
GGUUAUACCUAUUCGCAAAAUUAAAUUCCAGCAGAGGGCGCUCAACAUUUCAAAGAUGGACGAUAAAUCUAGGAAAACAAAUCAUUUUGUCAUUUGAUCUCAUAGAUCUAAAACGUUAAAUUAAAACAAUUUAUACGAGUGUUUUGCCAAAGUGAAAGUUGGAGUACGUUCUUCAAAGUUUAUUUGUUUUUGGUUCGAAUUUAUAUAAGUAUGUCUGAAGCACGGGAAGUAAAAUUGACUUUAUCCCAGUUAUUUAUGUGGUUGCAAGGCCGGCAGAGAUCUUUGGUUGAGGGAGAGGCAGUUUUUGAUGCUGGUCACAUAAUAUUUUGCAAACUAAAAAAGCAAGAUGCCCUGGAAGUGGUUGCAUUAUGUGUGCAAACAUCCAGCAUAAACACUCUGCCUCAUGAAAUAUCGAUAAAAAUUCCGUGUGAAGAAGAUUUAACAACAUGGAGCUGUAAGUGUUCAUGCAAGGCUGGUGAAUCCGGAUGCUGUAAACAUGUGGUGGCAACUUUAAUUUACAUAAAUCGGAAGAGCAAAUUAGAAUUCUGUAGCCCAACUGAACUGGAGCAAGCUUGGGGCGUUAAUAAGCCCCUGAUAAAAGAAACUUAUCAAGGGGAGAGACUGGUCGACUUUGUACGGAAGAAACAGUAUUCUCCAAAUAUCUCCAAUCUUGAUACCAGUAGAAAGAACUUUAAGCUUUUGAGUGAAUGUAAGUUUAAAUUUGUUUUAUUUAUUUCAAUGCUAUGCGGGAACAAUGUGAAUGCCAAAUCAGAUUUUGUCGACAAAUUGAAAAAAGUUAUACAUAUUAUCACAUUAUAAGUGACCAUUUUGAAAAAAGGAAUCUUUAUAAGAGUAAUAUGAUAGACUAUAGGAUGCAUAGAGUAAAAACAUAAUAUGAACUGCUAACUGCAAAAAGGGGACUUCCAACAAAUUUUCAUAAAUUCACUUUUUGUUAUUUUUGCGUUCUUUACAUGUAAACACAUUGUUUUCAACAAAAAGGAGACUUCUGCGUCUAUUCUAAAUAUAUUGAAAAUGCGGCUAAAAUUUCUCUAACUGCAAAAAGUGGAGUUUUACAGGAGAAAUAUAAUGAAAAAUAACCGAAGAAGUGAUAGUUUUGCCUUCACAACGCGAGUUUACUCUGAAACUCACCCAUUAAUGUCAUCCACAGUUGAAAACAUUAGAAAAAUGCUCAGAUUCAUCGACGAUAGCAAUAUCUCAUUUUGGAGGGAAAUAACAGAAUGGCCCACUGUUCAACAAGUUGAUAAUUAAUACUAUGGACUAUUUUCUAUUCCUUUCUUUAUAUUACAUGUUGAUAAUGGUAAAUAAGGGUGUUUUCUGGCAAGUAGUGUUGAUCUAAUUGAAUUAUUUCUAAUAAUUUUCAUUUUUAUUACAGUUAACUGCAAAAAGGGGACUUCUACACAACAUUAAAAUGUGAAUAAUAUACAAUUAUAAUUAAAAUUAUUUACAACUUAUUUACAUAAUUAUGUAUAAAGCUAUAUUGAACAUGUAUACCAAGUUUUCCGUUUCUAAGAGAUUUGAAAACCCACAUAUGAAACUAUUGGAACAACGUUGUUCCAGCAUAGCACUCAUUUAAUUGCAAAUUUACAAUCUAAUCCACACUAACAUUUAGAUUAAUAUAAUAAUACCUUGGAUUUUAUUGGAAAUACAAGAUUGUAGGAUGAAAUGUUUAAUAGAUGACUUGCUGAUAAUGGCUGAUCUUGCAUGUGGUGCCCAUCAGGAGGGUUUGCAUAGUAUAUUUUGUAGCAGGGUAGUUUUAUAAUGGUUUCU